GGGCAAUUGGCGCAGUUGGUAGCGCACUUGAUCGACAUUCAAGGGGUCACUGGUUCGAGUCCAGUAUUGCCCACCA
rnacentral:tRNA from 2 species